rnacentral:lncRNA from 1 species
GGGCUGGGGGGUGUGGGGUCAGCGCUGCCCCCUUCCCGUGGGAUGCUCGGCGCUGGGGGCAGCUCACGCUUCCCUUUUAGGACGGGGAUUUGGGGUUAAGCCGCCCUGGGCAGCCUCCUGAAGCAGCCCGGAGGAGAAGCAAAGUGGAGGAAGCCGGCGGCGAGGGGCAAGCCAGCGCCACGCGGAAGGAAGCGAGGGUCUCCUCCGUCCCUCCCCGCGGCGUCCCACGUCCCUGUGGGGUGGGCUGGGGCAGCCGAAUCGCUGCCCACCCCAGUGGGGACCGGUGCUGCCGAGCGGGAGCUGCUGCUGGGCUGUUUGCACCCACCUGCACCCGGCUGAAAAAAAUCUGGGUUUGCACCCAGAGCCUCGGGGUUUGCACCCAGGACCACAGGGCUUGCUCCCAGAGCAAUGGGGCUUGCACCAGAGCCAUGGGGUUUGCACCCAGAGCCUUGGGGUUUGCUCCCAGAGCCUUGGGGUUUGCUCCCAGAGCAAAGGGGUUUGCUCCCAAAGCCAUGGGGUUUGCUCCCAGAGCCAUGGGGUUUGCACCCAGAGCUAUAGGGCUUGCACCCAGAGCUUUGGGGUUUGAGCCCAAGCGCAGGGAGCAAAGCCCGUCCCCAGCGAGCAGAGCAGCCGAGGUCUCGGCGAGGCAGAGCAGAAGGAGGGUGGCCUUUCGGGGACCUGGCGGCCCCAACCCAGCAGCGCCAGCACCCCGCGGGGCAGGAGGAGGGCGGAAUCGGGGCUGGGGCAGCCCCGGUGGGGACACGGCCGCUGGCGCAGGGCUGGCACAGCGCUGUCCCCGUCCUGGGGAAGCCGUGCCCGGCAGGGUGGGGAGAGGGCAGGCAGGAGAUGGAAGAACGAAACGGAAAAAGCAAAGUGGUGUUUCAAACAGCAGGCCGUUGUUGUUUUCUUNNNNNNNNNNNNNNNNNNNNUGCGGGGUCUCGCUUUCCUUGCACAGGAUGGGGUGGGGGACAAAGGGGACAGGGACGGGGCCAUCCCAAACCCACCCUUCCUCCCCUAACAUGCAUGGGGAGCACCGGAGCUGCUGCACCCCAAUACCCCAAGGUCCCCCCCCCCAAAACCCCAACCCCACAGCGAGACCUUUGGACCGGGGGGGGGGGCACCUGGGGACAAAGGGACGCUCGGCCGGGCGCCCGCGGAGAAACACAGGCCACGAGCAGGGCGCCACGUACUUCCAAAACAAUCGUUGUAUCUUUAUUGACGCUCUGAAUGCAAUGACCUGUUUUUUUACUCUUAAGGAAAAUAAACAUCUUUUAGAAACAGCUUGUUACACACAAUCUUCAGUGUGAAGCAAUAUACUAAUAAGAACACUAGUCUUAACAUUUACAGUCUUCAUAUAUAUUAUAUAUAUGUAUAUGUAUACAUAUAUAUACACUAUAUAAUGAGGCAAUAUAUAAUACACACGGUUUACCAUUUUACAGUCAUAUGUACAAGAUGUCACUAAAAAUAGCCAGAUUUCAGGCAACACUGCCAGGGACACGGACCAUUUUUUUUUUUUAAUUUUUUUUGUAGUUCAUUAUUUUUAUUAUUCUCUUUUCUCCCUUUUUUUUUUUUUAAAUGCGUGUUUUUCGCUCCCGUGUCCGAGGCAGGCUGCCGAAACGACAGACAUUUCUUGGCCAGCAAACCUUGAGGGUGAGG